rnacentral:lncRNA from 1 species
AACAUCAGAUCUGGGGUAAAUCAACCAUCAAAGUAGCUACCAAAGCUGUUCUUCACGAAGAAUAGUUCGAGGUGCCUACUUUGGACCUCUAUAACUUGAUGAUCGUGUAACUUUUAUGUGAUCUAUCAAUUCCAGUGUGUACACAACAUGUAGGACUACAACUCUAACACUUAGCAUCAUCAUAACAACAAUAAAUCAAGCAUUUAAAGUAUGGUCAAACCUUGUAUGAAAAAUCAACACUUAGAAAAUUCUGGGCUACCCAGAAUUUUCCGGUCAAUGCCGGUCAACCCAGUUUGACCUUAAAUAACUCUUAAUCCGUAAUAUAUAUGGACCUGAUUCUUUUUGGAGGUUAAAUACCACAUAACAAGCUACACAUAUCAACCUUAAGAACACAAAACACAUUACAGAUGACCGAGAUAUAAGGCCUGACAUUUUCCAAAAAAAACAUUUCUGAACACUUAGAAUAUUUUCUGGGUUUGAAAAAUAGCCGGUCAAUGCCGGUCAACCCACUUUGACUGCUUAUAAAUCCUGAUCUACAAUAGAUAUGAACUUGAUUCCUUUUGGAGAUUAAAGACCACAUACCAGGCUACACAUAGCAAGCUUUAAACAUC